UGAAUACGAGACGCUAAGGCGUCGAAGUAGUGUAUGUCAUACUUCCAAGAAAAGCUUGCACUGUCAUAGAUAAAAAACGCCUGUACCAUAACCUACACAGGUGGGUAGGUAGAGUAUACUAAGGGGCGCGAGAUAACUCUCUCUAAGGAACUCGGCAAAAUAACUCCGUAACUUCGGGAGAAGGAGUGCCUUAUUCGUAAGGUUGCAAUAACAAGAUCCAAGCAACUGUUUAUCAAAAACACAGGUCUCCGCUAAGUCGUAAGACGAUGUAUGGGGGCUGACGCCUGCCCAGUGCCAGAAGGUUAAAGAAGUUGGUUAGCAAUUGCGAAGCUGAUAACUGAAGCCCUGGUGAACGGCGGCCGUAACAAUAACGGUCCUAAGGUAGCGAAAUUCCUUGUCGGGUAAGUUCCGACCCGCACGAAAGGCGUAAUGAUUUGGAUACUGUCUCGGAGAGGGGCUCGGUGAAAUAGACUUGUCUGUGAAGAUGCGGACUACCUGCACCAGGACAGAAAGACCCUAUGAAGCUUUACUGUAACUUGAAAUUGAAAUUGGACUUUAUUCGCGCAGCAUAGGUGGGAGGCGUUGAUUAUAAUCUUGCGGGAUUAUUGGAGCCAUCAGUGAGAUACCACUCUUGUAAUGUUAGAUUUCUAACUUUGAAUCAUUAUCUGGUCAAAGAACAGUUUCAGGCGGGCAGUUUGACUGGGGCGGUCGCCUCCUAAACGGUAACGGAGGCGUACAAAGGUUUCCUCUGAACGGUUAGAAAUCGUAUCUAGAGUGUAAAGGCAUAAGGAAGCUUGACUGUGAGACCUACGAGUCGAGCAGGGACGAAAGUCGGUCUUAGUGAUCUGACGGUACUGAGUGGAAAGGCCGUCACUCAACGGAUAAAAGUUACUCUAGGAUAACAGGCUGAUCUCCCCCAAGAGUUCACAUCGACGGGGAGGUUUGGCACCUCGAUGUCGGCUCAUCGCAUCCUGGGGCGGUAGUACGUCCCAAGGGUUGGGCUGUUCGCCCAUGAAAGCGGUACGCGAGCUGGGUUCAGAACGUCGUGAGACAGUUCGGUCCAUAUCCGGUGUAGGCGUUAGAAUAUUGAGAGGAGCCUUCUUUAGUACGAGAGGACCGAGAAGGACAUACCUCUGGUGUACCAGUUAUCGUGCCAACGGUAAACGCUGGGUAGCUAUGUAUGGAGUGGAUAACCGCUGAAAGCAUCUAAGUGGGAAGCCCACCUCAAGAUAAGUAUUCUCC
rnacentral:rRNA from 1 species